AUGUGGUGUCUACAAGCAAGAUUUGGGACAAUACGAGUGUGAUGUAGGAGCUUGAAGCCUCCGGUGCACAUACAGUUGUUACAUCCCAGUCGAGGGGAAACCUGGACAUAACAUGUUUAGAGCCCCCGCUCUUCCCAGGCCCAAGAACGCAGCAGCAGCAGCAUCAUCAUCUGGCGAGCCCGUGGUGGUCUCUCUAUCCCAACCUCCCCCCUCCUCAACCCUUCCCAUUCUUCAUCGAUUUUCACGGAGCAGAUUCCUCCCAUGCCGAACAGUUCCCUCCUUGUACAACGAGAGCGCAUCUCUGACAGCUGAGGCCAACUCAUAGCCCGUGGCGAUCGUCUGGAGUGGACGGACGCACCGAGCAGACAAUGACUCGCCUCAAAGCAGCGGCAGAUGUCCAAGUGAUUGCUGCAGACGCUGUCUUUCAUUAGAGAGCCUACAGCCCAGCUCAUAGCCGCUUCCACUGAUUGGAAGAGAAAUAUAUUUAAAAAAAAAAAAAAAGAAAAAAAAAAGAAAAGCACUCUUCUUGGAGUUCAAGUGGCCAUUUGCACAAUAUGUGCUAUUGUAGAUGAGUGUAUUUUUGUACCAAACAGGAGCUUUAUUAUUGAAGAAAAAAGCAAGAAGAGGCCUUUUAUGUGGCCAUCAGGGACCUUGAGAGUAAACUGCUGCUCAGAGCUGAACGAAGUGAUUUGUAUUUGUAACAGAAAGAUAUUCAUCAUAUCAGCUUUUGGAAUAACAACCCCUCAGAUUGAUAAAUUGAAAUACAGCGUCACCCUUGUUCUUACAUUAUCUCUGCCAGCAUGAAAAAAAUUCUGUGAUCACUAUUGCGUAACCUUAUUCAUAAUUACUUUAAAAAAAAAAAAAAAAAGCCUCUCAGGGUUUCAUGUCAAAGUGUACAUGUAAGCUAAUGAAGAAAUAUCCAUUACUAAAAGAGAAAACUCCCUUUUUAUGUGUACUUUUUUUUGUUCUUCCUGU